GUGAGGAAUAUUGGUCAAUGGGCGGGAGCCUGAACCAGCCAAGUCGCGUGAAGGAAGAAGGAUCUAUGGUUCGUAAACUUCUUUUGCAGGGGAAUAAAGUGCAGGACGUGUCCUGUUUUGUAUGUACCCUGAGAAUAAGGAUCGGCUAACUCCGUGCCAGCAGCCGCGGUAAUACGGAGGAUCCGAGCGUUAUCCGGAUUUAUUGGGUUUAAAGGGUGCGUAGGUGGUUUGAUAAGUCAGCGGUGAAAGUUUGCAGCUUAACUGUAAAAAUGCCGUUGAAACUGUCGGACUUGAGUGUAAAUGAGGUAGGCGGAAUGCGUGGUGUAGCGGUGAAAUGCAUAGAUAUCACGCAGAACUCCGAUUGCGAAGGCAGCUUACUAAGCUACAACUGACACUGAAGCACGAAAGCGUGGGGAUCAAACAGGAUUAGAAACCCCGGUAGUCC
rnacentral:rRNA from 1 species